CCUGAGCCAUUUAUAACACUAGGCAGAACAAAAAAUGGCCAGGGAUACAGAUAUUCUUAAAGAACAAGAUAGGUGUAUGGACUAGAAUGUACUAACAACCCUGUAUUUUGGGGCAGGAAGAAUCAGGAACUAGCCCACUCCUUUUGCUACAAUAUUGGAAUCUGCUGAGGUAAAGGUACAUCCAGGUGCAUUCUCAAUACUUAUAGCUCUUGUAUAGUUUGCAGCUGAACACAUCAAAUUAGAGCUAAUGAAGAAAUUACUGUCCUCAGUAGGACUGGACUGUGAAAGCCUGAUGUAUAUUUUACUUUAACUGGAGUAGAAGAUUCAAAACGCUAUGACUAGUGUCUUCCCAAACCCUGUGUUACCCACAGAGAGAAGCAUAUGCAGAAGGUGCUAUUGAAAUUAGUCUUAAAAAAAAAAAAAGCAUUACUUUCAACAAGCAACAAAAAAUAACCAAGUAAAGCUAGAUGGUCUCUUGGCUCCACCCUUGUGAAGUGAAACCUGCCAGGUGUGGAUCAUUUGACUUUUGCUAUAUAGGAAGCCUGAGGACUUGUGGGGAAUUGCCUUCCUGGUGGGGAGUUGGAGGCUCAGGUUCUCUAGGGUGCUUUUCUGCUGUUGUGGUGAAGCGGAUUCAGUGUUCCCUGUGUGGUGAGACCCUGGUGGUGCAAAGUCACUGUGAAGCAGUGUGGAAGUGACUCAAGUUCAGGAGCUGGCAGUGAAAUUACUUCCGUGGCUUCUAAGCUCCCUUUCAAGCUCUUCCAAAUACAAUGAUAAUGAAAGCGAAGAAGAAAGCCCCACCAACUCAGAAGCUCAAGUGCUUACAGGUAAGCCUGACUUUGGAGAAUGUUCUUAACUAUUUGUUAGGAUUCGACAACAGGCACUGUGGAAAAAGGUGCCUUAAUGUGCACUCAAAUUAUGCCUUGCGGUGAGUAGAAACCGAUGGGGAAGGUACUGGUGCAGUUAGCUCAUAACUUUCACUAAGUGGAAGUUGCGAGACUGUGCUGUUCCUAAAAGAAAUGCCGCUUUCACAACAUGUAAGUCAAAAGAAGUAUGAAGAAAGCCUCUCCUCUCCCCUACAGGCCUGCGUCUCGGCUGUGGAGAAAGAUUUGGAAGAUCGCGCUGAGGGUCACAUCGCUGAGGUUCCUGCGCCGAGGUGUCGUGGUUUAACCCGGCCGGCAGCUAAACACCACGCAGCCGUUCGCUCAGCCUCCCCCCUCCCUCUCUGGGACGGGGGAGAGAAAUGGA